rnacentral:tRNA from 1 species
ACUUAUAAAGGUUAUAGUCCUUUUCUUUUUA